CAUACUACCAAAAAACCUCUACCGAAUCGAAGAUAUGUGCAAGGUUACAGAAUCAAUGUCUUUUCGCACCACAAAGCACCAGGACUUCUAAAUAACUGCCAGGAGGAUACGCAUAUUUACAGGGGCAUUUGUGUUUUUUUUUUUCAUUUCAGAUAUCUUUCAAAGAAGACAUUUUAUUGUAUGUCUAUAUGUUUUACC